UGGGGAAUAUUGCACAAUGGGCGAAAGCCUGGUGCAGCAACGCCGCGUGAGUGAUGACGGUCUUCGGAUUGUAAAGCUCUGUCUUUGGGGACGAUAAUGACGGUACCCAAGGAGGAAGCCACGGCUAACUACGUGCCAGCAGCCGCGGUAAUACGUAGGUGGCAAGCGUUGUCCGGAUUUACUGGGCGUAAAGGGUGCGUAGGCGGACCUUUAAGUGAGAUGUGAAAUCCCCGAGCUUAACUUGGGGGCUGCAUUUCAAACUGGAGUCUAGGAGGGAAGAGGAGGGAGGGGAAAUCCUAGUGGAGGCGGGGAAAGGCGAAGGAAUUAGGAAGACCACAGGGGGGAAGGGCACUCCCUGGGCUGGUAACGGCCGCUGGGCAACAAAAGGGGGGGAGCAAACGG
rnacentral:rRNA from 1 species